UUUUCCGUUGAUCCUGCCGGACCCUACUGCUAUCGGGGUGGGACUAAGACAUGCGAGUCGAGCGUCUCUAGUUAUGGUGAGACGCGGCAGACGGCUCAGUAACACGUGGCUAACCUACCCUCAGGACGGGGACAAACCCGGGAAACUGGGGCUAAUACCCGAUAGGCGAGGGCGCCUGGAAUGAUUCUUCACCCAAAGGGCUUUGGAAGCAUGCCUUUCAAAGUCGCCUGAGGAUGGGGCCGCGUCCGAUCAGGUUGUUGGUGAGGUAACGGCUCACCAAGCCUAUAACCGGUACGGGCCGUGAGAGCGGUAGCCCGGAGAUGGGCACUGAGACAAGGGCCCAGGCCCUACGGGGCGCAGCAGUCGCGAAAACUCCGCAAUGCACGAAAGUGUGACGGGGCUACCCCGAGUGCCGUCCGCUGAGGAUGGCUUUUCCUCGGUGUAACCAGCCGGGGGAAUAAGGAGAGGGCAAGACUGGUGUCAGCCGCCGCGGUAAUACCAGCUCUCCGAGUGGUAGGGAUGAUUAUUGGGCUUAAAGCGUCCGUAGCCGGCUUAGCAAGUCUCCUGUUAAAUUCAGCGACCUAAUCGUUGAUCCGCGGGAGAUACUACUAGGCUAGGAGGCGGGAGAGGUCAACGGUACUUCCGGGGUAGGGGUGAAAUCCUAUAAUCCCGGGAGGACCACCAGUGGCGAAGGCUGUCGACUAGAACGCGCCCGACGGUGAGGGACGAAAGCUGGGGUAGCGAACCGGAUUAGAUACCCGGGUAGUCCCAGCUGUAAACUAUGCGGGCUAGGUGUUGGGGUGGCUACGAGCCACUUCAGUGCCGCAGGGAAGCCAUUAAGCCCGCCGCCUGGGGAGUACGGCCGCAAGGCUGAAACUUAAAGGAAUUGGCGGGGGAGCACCACAAGGCGUGAAGCUUGCGGUUCAAUUGGAGUCAACGCCGGGAAUCACUAGU
rnacentral:rRNA from 1 species